AUGUUUUAUGCUUUAUUUGUUUGUUUUACAGAUGAAUAAGACAGCACUUCUGAUUUUGCUCCUUGUCGGACUUCUCGUCCUCACAGAUACAACCAACGGUGCGUGGUAUAGUCGUCGUCGUCGUCGUCGCUGGAACACAGACAGCCAGAAGCAAAAUCUUAAAGAUAUCGAAGAUCAUUACGAUGCUCUUUUCUUUGAUGCUGAAGAGAACAUUCAAUAAGCAGAAGAUGUCCGCCUUUGGUUGAAUUAUUGAUAAAUGUCACUAACAUUCACGAUUUAAUAUCAAUCAGAAAUAAAUUCAACCAUGGCAUUA